CCCGCACAAGCGGCGGAGCAUGUUGCUUAAUUCGAUGCAACGCGAAGAACCUUACCUAGGCUUGGCAUGCACGGAAAUCCUCCAGAGAUGGUGGGUCCGUAAGGGCCGUGCACAGGUGGUGCAUGGUUGUCGUCAGCUCGUGUCGUGAGAUGUUGGGUUAAGUCCCGCAACGAGCGCAACCCUCGUUCUAUGUUGCCAGCACGUAAUGGUGGGGACUCAUAGGAGACUGCCGGGGUCAACUCGGAGGAAGGUGGGGAUGACGUCAAAUCAUCAUGCCCCUUAUGUCUAGGGCUGCAAACAUGCUACAAUGGCCGGUACAAAGGGCUGCGAUACCGCGAGGUGGAGCGAAUCCCAAAAAGCCGGUCUCAGUUCGGAUUGGGGUCUGCAACUCGACCCCAUGAAGUUGGAGUCGCUAGUAAUCGCAGAUCAGCAACGCUGCGGUGAAUACGUUCCCGGGCCUU
rnacentral:rRNA from 1 species